ACUCUCCAAGCUCAUCCAAUUGCUCUUCCUUCCGCCAUCUUUUUCUUCCCCGAACCAAGCUCUCUGUUUCUCGCCGAUUUCGUCGCCCUCGCGCGAUCUUGGUUCGAUUCCUCGCACACACAUCACCAGCAGCCCUAUCUCGACCGAUUCGAAGAGUUUCUAGCCCUGCCAUCGACCACAGCCGCUAGCUCGCCAUCGUCUUCUUCCUCUGGCCACCAACGAGCAUUGAAGCUAGGUCACCGAAUCGGAAGUCGCGGACGUCAGCGUCGAAUACAUCGAGCUGCCACCCGAGAGACCCGCAGGAGGAGAAGAGGUGAUCGUGAUCGAGCACGAGCCCGAGCUCCAAGCCGAAGUCCCACCUCCCGAGGCUGAUCAAGGCAAGCACCGGAACAUCUAUGCCCACUAAUUUUAAUUAACUUAUGUUAUUACUUAUGUACUGCAUUUGAAUUGCUUAAGUCUAGGAGUUGUUUGAAACCCAAUUGAUGCAUGUUCAACAUCCUUGAUUUAAGGACAUCUUUGCCACCUUCUCAACUAGAUAGAUCAAACCAAAAUGUCUAAAAGGAAUCCACGCUAAAAGCAACCAAAGGUCCAGAUAUUACUUGAAGGUUCACCUGAUAAAACCAGACAAUGGUUGGCAAGUAUGAUGAUCGUUGAGUAUAGAGCAGAAGAGGAGUUCUGGUCUGUCCUCACUUUCAAAGAAAGAAAUAAGGAACUAUGGUAUAUUUAACCUUGAUCAGACGUUGAACAAACUGGUCAUAUGCUGACAUAUGGAACCAGUAAGCCCGGUAGCUUGGUCGACCUAAAUACUUGAACUGAGUGUUACCACACCUGGCGUGGGAAGUUGGCGGGGUCGUAGCCUGAAACCCGUGUCGUGAUCAAGCCCGACGAGGGAUCCUUCACGGGGGUGUGAACCCGGGUCUGGGUAUGCUUGGUUCAGGGUUUAGUAUCCUCCUCGUGAAAGAUUGCCAUGUACAAUUUACCGGAAACUGUGCGUGACGUGUGCCCAGUUAUCUCCUGCAGGAUGUAAAUUGAUUCGAAUCGCCGCAAUUCUCGGAUAUGAAUGCUGUUUGAUCUCACUUAAACAUCGUAUCCAAUUACGAUGUGACCAGUAUACAAGAAGUUGCUUGUGAACAUAGAGUUAUCAUGAUGGCUAUGAAUUAGAUUUAUUCUUGGGUCUAGUGUCUAUAUAUGAGUCUCGGUUUAGGAAGUUGCUGUUUUGGAGUCCAAAUGUUUGAACAAUGAGCCAGUCCACCAAAUACAACCUUGCAUGCUCCUUGAUCCUAUAUAUAUUUAUACUUGUGUAGUCGGGUCAGUCUUGUUGAGUACCUUUUUGUACUCAGUGUUUGUGCUUAAAUGUUUUUAGCAGCGCCGUCGGAGGAGCAUCAGGAGUAAAGCACCAAGAAUCGGAGAGUAUGUUGAGUCCAUACAUCUCUGAAUGUUUUAUAAACUCGUUGUAAUAUAUAAACUUAUGGCAAUAAUCCCUAGGACUGUAGGUGUACUCCUUAAAAACUCUGUAGAGUUGGUAUGCAUUAAGUUCGCUCUUAUAUUGUAAUAACACUUUCCUAGUUUUAUGUUCUACAAUAAAUGCCUGUGUGUAAUA